rnacentral:rRNA from 1 species
AGGAUGAACGCUGGCGGCGUGCCUAAUACAUGCAAGUCGAGCGGUAAGGCCACUUCGGUGGUACACGAGCGGCGGACGGCUGAGUAACACGUAGGAACGUACCCCAAACUGAGGGAUAAGCACCAGAAAAUGGUGUCUAAUACCGCAUGUGCUCUUCGGAGUAAAGCUACGGCGGUUUGGGAACGGCCUGCGCAAGAUUAGCUUGUUGGUGAGGUAAUAGCUCACCAAGGCGACGAUCUUUAGCUGGUCUGAGAGGAUGACCAGCCAGACUGGAACUGAGAACGGUCCAGACUCCUACGGGAGGCAGCAGUAGGGAAUUUUCCACAAUGGACGAAAGUCUGAUGGAGCAACGCCGCGUGCAGGAUGAAGGCCCUCGGGUCGUAAACUGCUUUUAUAUGUGACGAUUAUGACGGUAGCAUAUAGAAUAAGGAUCGGCUAACUCCGUGCCAGCAGCCGC